GUACCGGAGGAGUAUGCCGAUUUCACCGCUCC
rnacentral:scRNA from 1 species